rnacentral:rRNA from 1 species
CCUACGGGAGGCAGCAGUAGGGAAUAUUGCUCAAUGGGGGAAACCCUGAAGCAGCAACGCCGCGUGGAGGAUGACGGUUUUCGGAUUGUAAACUCCUUUUGUUAGAGAAGAUAAUGACGGUAUCUAACGAAUAAGCACCGGCUAACUCCGUGCCAGCAGCCGCGGUAAUACGGAGGGUGCAAGCGUUACUCGGAAUCACUGGGCGUAAAGGGCGCGUAGGCGGGAUAGCAAGUCAGAUGUGAAAUCCUAUGGCUUAACCAUAGAACUGCAUUUGAAACUGUUAUUCUAGAGUAUGGGAGAGGUAGAUGGAAUUCUUGGUGUAGGGGUAAAAUCCGUAGAGAUCAAGAGGAAUACUCAUUGCGAAGGCGACCUGCUAGAACAUAACUGACGCUGAUGCGCGAAAGCGUGGGGAGCAAACAGGAUUAGAUACCCGUGUAGUC